rnacentral:lncRNA from 1 species
UCCUCUCCGGGGGAUUUCCUCAGCUUCAGGUCCUUGAUCUGGGUCACUAUUUCAGCCAAAGUUAUUGGUCUGAAAGUAUGGUUGGGUGUGUGUGGGUCCAUCAAGUCUACAGACUCCUCAACUGAUUGUCUCUCCUCCUCAGUAUUUGAAAGUAAAGGCUUGAACCUCUGCUCAAGGUGAAGAGCGAAAGAUUCAGCCUUUUGUUAAUCGCAUGCAUCGGCGGCAGUGCGAGAAUGACCUACCGCAACAUACAUCAACUCCAGCCUUAGCCUGAACUGGCAGGCUAAGCGGAGCCAAUGCAUGCAACAGUAGGGUGGAUUUUAUUUGUAUAUUAAUACUAUUCUUAGCAUUCUAAUACAAAUUAUUGGGGC